AUCAGGUGACCUCCUCCCAAAGAAACCUCCGUGCAGGCCUCUGCAAACCCACACGAGACUCUUAUUUCUCCUGGAAAGGGCUCUUCGAGAACACACUUCUCAACAUUAGCUCUGCAGGGAGGGCAAAAAAAAAAAAAAAAAAAAAAAAAAACAGGUGGGGGACCCAGAGAAAAUCAGAAGUAAUUGCCGGAUUUAAGAUUUUUGCUCAUUUAUUUUAACAAUUAACAGCAGUGAUGUCUGGGGCGAAGGAUCUUCAUUUGCAUACACACUGGAAAUGGUAAACUCUAAAAAUAACCUCGGGAAUUACUGCUCCAAAGCUCACGCUGCUAAUGAGAAAGUUCAGAGGAAACGGUAUUGAUGACACCCGGAUAAUUAGUUGGCUUAAUCCGAGGUAGUUUGGGUUCCCUUGGAUAUAAAAGGUGAGUUCCUGCCAAAGCUUCGGAUACUCAAGCGGAGUGUCAAGUCCUUUCACUUGUGUUAAGCACUUCGAAAUCGUCCAAUUGCCGAUGCUUUGUCGAAAAGAAUGAUGGAAAUGAAUUCUAACACACGCGGUCUUAGAGAAAACCCCAUGAAGUGAUACCAGAAACAAUAAGAAGGGAAAAGGGGAAAAGGGGAAAAGGGGAGAUCCCGUCCUCGCAACACAGGCCAGUUGGUAACCCAGGGGCAUCCGUGAAUCAGAAAGACGUCUGCCACCUGCAAGGUAAUGUGGACUCGGCCGGGAGCCCCUGACCUACGCUGGACUGUGCUCCGCUGGAAUAUUAUCCGGGGCUGGAGGUUCAGGAAGCCCCCAGGCCCCCCCCACCACGGUGCUGACAUCACACCAGAGUGGGGCCGGAAGACCAGGAGCCAGCUGGAGGUGCAGGGCCGGGCCGGGCGGGCACAGGAGCCACAAUCAGGACGGGGCCCGGGCCACACCCUGGGGCACUGAGCUCAGCGGCGCCCAUCACACGACCCUCUUGGCCGUCACGGCCUGGCGGCAACUGUCCAGUAGCCACGGCAAGAGUCGGGGGGCAGUUGUCAGCACCGGGGGCUCCCACGCGUGAGGUCAGAGCCCACGGCCACGCAUGCCUUCUCCCUGUGCUGCAGGCGGGAGCGGGCCCCAGCUGGCCCACCCACCCCACGCGGCCGCCCUGCACUGGCCCCUGUCCGGGACGCUGAGCAAGGCCGCUUGGGUGGGACAGGGACUGCAGAGGCGUCCUGGGUUUUCGGGAGAGAAGAGCGCGCGUGAGCACGAGUGUGCACAAGCACCUGCCACUCAGAGGCUCCCCGAGGCUGCUCGGGGGCCUUUGGGUUCACAGCCGACGCCAGUGUCGAGGCCACCACGCGGUCGUGAUCCUGAAACCCGAGUUCAGAAGGCGCGGACUUCCUUUUACCAGAGGAGGCGGCGACGUCUCCACACAGGUUUAGGUCCUGGCGCACAACAGCGGCCGGAACAGACGCGACCUCACGGUCACCAGCGGAUGCGGGACGGCCAGUCCCAGGGGGCCGACAGGCGGCACAGCCCAGCGGCCGCACCCCCCACCGGGUAGCCCGCGCCUGGGACGCUCUUCCAGAACCGCACCGCCCUGGCUGCCACCCCGGACGCCGGAGAGUUCGUCCCCACGGGCCCCGCACCGCCCUGUCCACCGGAGGAUCCGUCUCCGCAAGUAGAGAUUCAAAAGGUCAGUGACCCCCUCGGCAGCAGCGGGCCACCUGCACCACGGGAAACGGGGACACCUUGAAUUCCCAGGUGGGGAACCGGCUGGUCCCCGCUCCCCGCCCGGCCCAGCCUCGGGGACACUGAGACAAAGACGCAGACGACGCGGCCCCAGGACAGCGUCAGGUCCAGAGGCAGAGUCAGACCCUGAGCACGCGACCGACGACAACGGGCCAGCUCAGCAGGGGGAGGCAGGGGAGGCCUGGCCGGGCUGCAGGGCUGGGCAGGACACCAGGACACCAGGGUUUGUCCUGCUCCCUCUGCUCCCUCCUCCCCGCCCUCCUCCGUCUGGGCACCAAGCACUUCCAGCCUCCCCUUGGCUGCAGAACUGCAGCCCUUCCCGGGGGCAAAACUGCGGUCCGGCCGCGUCUCAGCAGCACCUCAACCUCCCGUGCGGCUCAGAACGUCCCCAAACAGCAGGAGGAAGGUCUGACCACCUCCCCGCUCGGCAGACGAGGCCGAGGCCCGCAGCUCCCACGGGUCUGGCCAGGGUUGCGCGCCCAGCAAGGGUGAACCGGGGUUCUGGACGUCGGGGUGGGGUCCUCGGCCGACUCUGUCCCUGGGGGGACGUGUGCCCACCACGCCCCCGAGGCGAUGGUGAACGUUCAGGGACUAAAGAGAAGAACACUGGGGAAUUUCCAACAAAGGCCUUCUAGAGGAAUCUGCCUUUCAAAAUCCGAGAGACGGGAAAGGAAAGGAUGAUGAAAGACAAAAAAAAAAAAAAAAAAAAAGCCGCGUUCAGCGUGGGUCCCCCGUGGCCUGCCCUCGGGAACCUUCCCGGUGGCCCCCACCUGCGUGCAUUGCACGAGCUGGCUCUCACCUGGAGGGCCGUGCAUCGGCGUGAGCCUCGGCGUGAACGGAGGCAGGAAGGGCCCGACCCGGGAGGCUGGCCCAGGCCCAGCUGCAUGGUGUCCAGUCGUGGUGGCACCUUCCCCAUUUGUGAUCACCAGCAGCCGCCUAUGCCCCCAAAUUGCAACGCUAUUUCAACACCAUUUAAAUCAAGCUUGAUCGCUAAUUAGGCUAAGAUCAGCCAAAGCACCAACCAGGGGGACAUCAAAAACCCAAGAGGGUCUACACCGUGAAGCGGCAUCAUUAAGGGUCUCCCAUUAAGGAAGCAACAGGGGGUGCGGGCGGGGCAGGGAGGACACAAGCUUUUUUUUUUUUUUUUACUUUCUGGGAAUAAACGGCUUCAAAAUUCAUCCAAAACAGGCCUCUUAAGACAUUUCCCCUCUGCUCUGAAUGCUUUAAGCCGGCCCUCUGAUGACAAAAAUGCUCCUGUUAAACCUCAUCAGGAGGCUUUCUUAAGAUGAAGAAUGUUUUAUAAAUUGUAAUGGCUUUAAUCAGGGCCCUCUCUGAAGCUAUUUAGCUCUGCUGCAGCCCAACCAGCGCCUCGAUUACGCCGUUUAUCGGCUCCGUAUUAAUUAAGCAUCAUUACGGGGAUUGAUUCAUAGGCUUUUUCACAGCUCGCGCACCAGAUGGUAGACCAGGCUCCCUCUCCGAUGCUCCGUAAACAUCACCUGGGUUCACUCGUCUCUCCCUGCAGCUGAAUGUUUAAUCAGAUCCUAGUCGUCCUCCAACCGGAUCGCUGCUCUUCCUCGUCCUCUUGGCUCUUCGCGAUUAACAGGGUUCGGGGGAGGCCAAGAGAUCCGAAGGAUAGGAACACCAGCUAAUGGAACGCCUCACGGUUGCCUCAAAGGCAAAACGUCUGAAAACCAAGCGGCCCGUGUGGCCCGCAAUCAGCUCCUCUCCUGACCCCCGACACUUCUCCUUAUUCUCCAGUCACCAAGCUGGGUAGAGACAAACCUGGAAACUUCAACGGACUAAAGGAGACACGUGCCAUCAACUAAAUGGACUCGGAGACUCCCACAAGCUGCCGGCCUGCCGUAUGGAACACCCUGGAUGUUGCCCAAUCUGGUUUUGCUCUAAAAAACCACAAACAGCUAUUUAGUUGUACGUGAAUCUCAUGAUUUUUAAGUACUGGGCUGACCUGAGCGCAGAUGCAUCCAUGGCUUCUGAUCCUUGUCUGACUGCACGCUCGGCCAUCCCUCUGUCCCCCAUCAAACAGGGCCAGGCUCCGUCUGUCCCAUCACUCUCCCCUGCGAGCUCUCUGCUGUCUCUUGCUCUCCAUUCCCUCCGCCCCGUCCAGGCCCUCAUUUCCCAGCCUUAGGAUCGGCUGGGGAGCUGGGGGGCGAGUUAAGCCACAAGCCCCACCCCCAAGCUUUUCGACUUUAAGGAGUCUCAGGUGGGGCCUAACUAUUUGCACAGCAACAAGCUCCCAGGUGAGGCUGACGAUGACCUUCCAGAGACCAUCUUUACGGAAACGUUGCUCUAAAACAUCGCCCCCGCCCAACUCCACCACAAUGAUUCCCCAUUUCCUCCAAAUAAACCUUAAAACUCCCCAGCCCGUCCUCUGGAUCCUCUUCCAUUCGCCCCAAAACUUCAUUUCCCUGAUCUCCUGCGACACUUUCUGGCUCCGGCCAUACCGGUCUCCCCGUGUGUUACCCAAGUGCCUCACGCACUGCCCCCUUGAUCACAUGCAGCUCGUCUUUAGACCUCCCUUGUCUUGUUCAAGUUCAACCUUUUGUUGCAUAUACCCCAAAUCCGCGUCCUCUACGUAGCCAGCACUCAUCAGAUUUCCGCUCUUUUAGUCUCCAAAGUGCUGGCUCUUCAGGUCACUUGGUAUAAUCCAAAGUGCAUGGAAUUCAGAACCAGAGACUCUAAUCAUGAAUCCCAGUUCUUUCGUUAGCUGCGUGACUUGAUUAUUUAACCAUUCUAAACCUGUUUCUUUUUCAGUAAAAGAGAUAACAAUUAUCUGCCUCCCCUGGGUUGCAUAAAGAAUUUUGAAACAAA